CACGCAGGCGGUCUGUCAAGUCGGAUGUGAAAUCCCCGGGCUCAACCUGGGAACUGCAUUCGAAACUGGCAGGCUAGAGUCUUGUAGAGGGGGGUAGAAUUCCAGGUGUAGCGGUGAAAUGCGUAGAGACCUGGAGGAAUACCGGUGGCGAAGGCGGCCCCCUGGGCACCAACUGACGCUGAGGCUCGAAAGUGUGGGUAGCAAACA
rnacentral:rRNA from 1 species